AAGACAGUGAGGUUAAUCUCCAGCCUUUCGGGAUAUGCGGGCCUCUGACCUUGACCCUGGAGCUAAGCAGGAGGCUCAGCCAGCCACGGGGACAAGGACCACAGCAGAAUCUCCAAGUAUAUUUACACUGUAAACUCCAUGGCUGGGAACUAGUCUAGCUUCUUGGACUAAUUCAAGAGCAUUCCUUAAAACUUUUACUUCUCCUGUCGGGUAUGCACAAUCGCUGUUCCACAGUCCACUGACCAGAAACCUUCCUGAAGUAACGUUUUGCUGAGGGUGGGCGGAGGGGGGAAUAUAAGACGCCCUUGAGAAAGCAAAAGCAACCUGCCUUGAAGUCUCCCUCACACCUCAGUCAGGUUCGAGUUAACCAUAAACUUUUUUAAAGUCAAAAUAACUCUAAGAGAGUCAAAUCUAUCAACUUCACCCACUUAACAAGUACACCUUGAAUACCCACAACGUGUGAGGCACCUUGGAAGGUACUAAGGCCACCGGAAGAGGCCCUGCAGACACGAACCCGGCCCUCAUGCGCUUUACAGUCCAGGGGCGACAGGCAAGAAAACAGGCAGUUACUACAACAACCCGCCAAGGGCUGUGACAAGGUACCAGGAUUCCAGACGCCACCACCUCAGCCUCCAAAUCCUGAGGUUUAAUUUGCCAUUGAUAUCUCUGGAAUGACUCAGCUGAGAUUUUUCGUGCCUCCAGAAAGCAACUCUAGAUUAGACAAUGAAGCUGACCUGAAGUUUAACCAGCUGCCAGAAUGAAAGAGCUGGAUCAGAUGAACUCUCAGAUCCCUCCGAGUCUGGCAAGGACUUUCGACACUCCUUGAUGGUUGGAAGCGCUAAGAAUAAUAACGUGUAUGUGCAGCUCUUGACAUUUGUCAAAGCUCUGUCAAGUAACUUACUUCAUUAGUUACCUCACCUUUUGUUUAAUAUCUUCUGUCACAAUGACAAGCAAGCUUCAGAAAAACAAAUGAUGAA